AAAGGGGAAGCCGAAAACCUGUUAAAGAGUAGGCA
rfam:Fulvivirga imtechensis AK7 contig50, whole genome shotgun sequence.